AACGAACGCUGGCGGCAUGCCUAACACAUGCAAGUCGAACGAUGCUUUCGGGCAUAGUGGCGCACGGGUGUGUAACGCGUGGGAAUCUGCCCUUGGGUUCGGAAUAACAGUGAGAAAUUGCUGCUAAUACCGGAUGAUGUCUUCGGACCAAAGAUUUAUCGCCCAGGGAUGAGCCCGCGUAGGAUUAGCUAGUUGGUGGGGUAAUGGCCUACCAAGGCGACGAUCCUUAGCUGGUCUGAGAGGAUGAUCAGCCACACUGGGACUGAGACACGGCCCAGACUCCUACGGGAGGCAGCAGUGGGGAAUAUUGGACAAUGGGCGCAAGCCUGAUCCAGCAAUGCCGCGUGAGUGAUGAAGGCCUUAGGGUUGUAAAGCUCUUUUACCCGGGAUGAUAAUGACAGUACCGGGAGAAUAAGCUCCGGCUAACUCCGUG
rnacentral:rRNA from 1 species